rnacentral:lncRNA from 1 species
GGCCUUCUAUGGGGGCAGUAAUGAUGGGGCUUCCACUGCCCGGGUUCCUCCCUGCAAGGCUACAGCAGAGGGAUGUAAACGGGGAGCUCUGGGGGGCCAAGAAGCACAGACGGCCAGAGAGACACAGAGGGUGCAAAAAAGCUGAACACAACACAUACGUCCCAUAUAUUUGAAAUUCACAAAAUGCAAGACAAAAUUCAACUUUGGAGAUGCAUAUUUGGUGAUUGGCAAUGCAAAGCAACAGGGAAGUGAUUACCUUAAAUGUCAGGGAAGUGAUUACCUACCUUUCAUGAGGAAAGAGGGGCUAGUGGCAAGGAAGGGGAAUGGACAUGAUUUCUGGGAUGCUAGCCGUAUUGUGUUUCUUUUUUAAUGUAAGUGAUGGCAUACCAAUAUUUGCUUUUGAUAAUUCACUCAAUUGUAUAUUUUUGCUUUGUAAACUAUUUCUGUUAUGUGUGUGCCAUAUUUCACAAUAAAAAGACUAAAAAAAAGAAAAUGCACGUCAAACCUUUAGCACUGUAUAAGUUCUCAUUAAAUGAGAUACUUAUUUGCUUCAAGAAUACUAACCUGGAGACGUUUAAUUAGAACUGCAAAACUAAAUGAAGUGUUUCAAAAUGACAACUCUUCUUCUAGUUGUAAAAGUAAAGAGUGAGACAUAAGGUGCCUGGCCCAAGAAUGCAUCUGGAGACACAGCCAUGGAGCCACCUUUCCUGGAGAUGUUAAU